UAAACUAGGAUUAGAUACCCUAUUAUAUUUAAAUAAAUAAAGUAGUAAAAUAAUUAAACUAAUUUAAUCUGGCGGCAUUUCAUCUAAUUAGAGGAAUUUGUCUACUAAUCGAUACUCCACGUUAAAUUUUACUUUACUUUAAAAUCUAUAUACCGCCAUCUCAAGAAUUAAUUUAAAAAUUUUCUUCCCAAUAAUUAAUAAAAAGUUAGGUCAAGGUGUAAUCUAUAUUAAAGAAUAAGAUGAAUUACAUUAAACAAUAUUUAAAGACUAUAUAUAUAAAUAUAAAUACAAAUAAGAAUUUAAAAGUAAUAUAAUAACAAUAA
rnacentral:rRNA from 1 species